rnacentral:rRNA from 1 species
GAUGAACGCUGGCGGCGUGCUUAACACAUGCAAGUCGAACGAUGAUGCCCAGCUUGCUGGGUGGAUUAGUGGCGAACGGGUGAGUAACACGUGAGUAACCUGCCCUUGACUCUGGGAUAAGCCUGGGAAACUGGGUCUAAUACCGGAUACGACCAUCUGGCGCAUGUCAUGGUGGUGGAAAGCUUUUGUGGUUUUGGAUGGACUCGCGGCCUAUCAGCUUGUUGGUGGGGUAAUGGCCUACCAAGGCGACGACGGGUAGCCGGCCUGAGAGGGUGACCGGCCACACUGGGACUGAGACACGGCCCAGACUCCUACGGGAGGCAGCAGUGGGGAAUAUUGCACAAUGGGCGCAAGCCGGAUGCAGCGACGCCGCGUGAGGGAUGACGGCCUUCGGGUGGUAAACCUCUUUCAGUAGGGAAGAAGCGAAAGUGACGGUACCUGCAGAAGAAGCGCCGGCUAACUACGU